rnacentral:lncRNA from 1 species
GUCCACUCUUAGAGUGGCCUCAGCUGGGACCAUGACUACUACCCUGGGUUCUCCUGAGCUCAUCUGACAGUGAGAGGGGUCAGGCUUGGACCUGUGAUUUCACAGGCACAGGAAGCGCCUCUCUCCCAAAGCGGCCCGGCACGCCCGGCCAGGGCUCGGUCAGGCCGCUCAAGGUGACCCUACCGGCCAAAGCCAGGUCUUCCUGGUCACUAAAGGAGAAGUUGCACCCGAACCCACUCACCGAUGGCCUAAUGCGUUUGGCUCCUGCGCCUUAUUUUAAUUUUCUUCGGGUCUUUUUUGUUUCAAUUGUUUCUAGUAAAAAUGAAACGUCUCCUUUUUUAAAAAAAUUUUUAAAUGUUUUCCUAAUUUAAAACGUUAGCUCCUGCACCCAAACAUAUUUCGCUCUCACCGGGUAAAGAAGAUGUUGACGCAUGCCCAGAAAACCUAGGGUGCAGUCACCCAGCGGGGGUCCCCGGCCAAGGGGAAACACGCGACACAUGCGUAGACGUGCCUACCACGUGGUGGCAGCAGCCUCUUUCUAUUGGCUGCGAGCCGAAACUGCCUGCGUCUUUUAAUCUACUCCUUACUUAGAGAUUUCUUCAUUUAAAAAAAAAGAAUCACUCCGUAUCACAUGAGCCACUCCAAAAUUAAAAAACAACAGCAGCAACCUUCCCUUCUCACAAGUAAACCUAAAGCAGCCCACUUAAACGCAGCCGUGGUUUGUCAAUUCUGUGAAGACUUUCUAAGCAAGGAGCGAGCCCAAAGAAGGCGCACAGUGACGGCCAUUUUCCAGCCUCGCUUCCAAGACAAACGUCUACGCGUUCCGGCCUUACCGAUUGGACGGGUCCUGGUCUGGCUUUUCAAUACUCUGCUCUUCCCCAAGAACGUGAAAAGAGGAGAAGGAGAAGGGAAAUGACUUCUGUGCUCCUAACAGCCAGGUCCCAGGUGAGUGAAAGACUUUCUCUUUCCUGAAAUGCCAUCCCUUUUCUCAAAGUGUGGACACUUGUCUUUGUCUUGUCUUCUGUCUUCUGCGUCAGGGAGCCAACUCAUUUUUGUACCCCCAAAGACUUUGUCAGUUUUGACAGACAAUAUAGUGUUCAUAGAUUUUUUGAUCUAGAAGGAAGGUAAUCCAAUCUCCUAAGUUUGUAAUUCACGAAACCUUAUCCUUCA